GUACAGCAGGUAGGCGCUGGCACCCCCGUUCGCCCCUGGGCUCGACGUUUUGUACAGUUUCCAGAUUCUCUCAGUCCCGCGCUUAGCUGACAUUUGAAACUGUUUCUGCUCUCUGAAACGCGCUCUCAGCCAGUGGUUCCAGGUAAGCAGCUGGAACACACGUUCCAGCGAGGGAGAGAGCAAAGACAAAGAGAGGCUCUGGAGCUGUCUCUGCUUCCAGCUAAUUCAACGGCUCAACAGGUAGUGGAAGCUUGACUUGAUGUUUUCAUCAAUUUGGUCGUCAUGCUGCUUGGUUUUCCCCUCGUUUUCGAAUGGCAUUGGCCAGAGCAUUUCAGAGCGCCCCCACCCCAACGGCCACCACAUUCUUAAGCAAGAAUUUGAAGUUACCUCCGAUGUUUUGGCCAAAUAACACGUUCAUAGUGGCGGCGGCAGCAGCGGAAUUGCGCAAGCCAUAUUGGCAAAACCUUGAGCUACUCCAAAAGCCAAAAAAACACACAGCACACAACAACACACACAAUGUUUUUUUUUGUAAUAGAAACUCAAAAAAACUAACCAAAUGCAAUGCUAAAUGCGGCAAGUGCCUGUGCUCUGCGCUCUGCGCCUGGGGCCUGGCCAGUAAAAUCUGUCUAAAUUUCGGCAGAAACUCAGAAAUGACAGAAAUGCAUUUGAGGCUGGGAAACGGCUGCGCAUGCGCACGAUUAAGCCUUUUGAGAUAAGAAUUGGCCAGCCUGGAACCAACACAGAAAAUACAAAAUCUGUAAAUCAUAAAAAUAAAUGCCACUCUUGGCCAUAAUUAAUAUUAUUUAUGUGCCAUGAAAUUGACACCAAGUAA